rnacentral:rRNA from 1 species
CCCGCGUAAUUUAAGCAUAUUAAUAAGCGGAGGAAAAGAAACUAACAAGGAUUCCCUUAGUAGCUGCGAGCGAACAGGGAGGAGCUCAGCAUAAAAUCUUGUAACUUGACAGUUAUCAAGAGAUGUUAUGUUUAGGGAGUUUCGUUUAUCCUAGGAUGUACACUUAGUCCAAGUCCACCUUGAAUGGGGCAUUACCCAUAGAGGGUGCCAGUCCCGUAGUGACAAGUGUAUAAAAAUCAUUCUAGGUGAAACUUUCCUUAGAGUCGGGUUGCUUGUAAAUGCAGCUCUAAGUGGGUGGUAAACUCCAUCUAAAGCUAAAUAUGACCACGAGACCGAUAGCGAACAAGUACCAUGAGGGAAAGUUGAAAAGAACUUUGAAGAGAGAGUUCAAGAGUACGUGAAACCGU